UUUAUGUCGAGCUCCAGUAUAUAAAACCUACAGAACUGGAAAAAGCUAUUAUUCAUACAUAAGAAUUGUUUGUAUCCAGUUGUCUCCUACAUCUGACAUAUCAAACUCUACAGAAGAACAAUGUCUGGAGUAAAAGGACAACAGAAGAAAUGCCCAGAGCCUUGCCCACCACCCCAGCAGGACUGCCAGGAUCAGUGCGAGCCAGUGCAGGUGUGCCCUGAACCGAAAUGUCCUCCUCAAGUGGUACAAUGUCCACCACCACAAUGUCAGAACCAA